UUCCAAGCUAUAUCAUAAGAAUAAUAAGCAAGCUAAGGUACUGGUGUGAUAGGGGCUCUGAAAAAUACAGCGCUUUGGCAGUGGUGUCUCGGGGAACUGUUCCCGUACCGCUCCUUUGGAAUCUAAGACCAUUGUUAAACCAACAUUCAGCCGCAGGAAUCUCAACAUUAUAGAAUCUCCCCAAGAAAGGUGGCGUACUAUCCUGUGGCAUUGAAAAGACACAAGUGCUCAGAUCUCGGCCGCCAGAAAUUUCCGUCUCGCCUCACUCAGUGUUAUACCAAUAUCUUCUUAGUCUGCAGGUGGCCUCUAAGGCUUUCCCCACGUAUGAAGGCAAAAAGUGAAGGGGAAUAUUUUAACGAAAUAAUUUGCCCGUCAAGUGGCUCUGGAAUCGAGUUAUUAUUAAAGGGGAAUAUUUUAACGAAAUAAUUUGCCCGUCAAGUGGCUCUGGAAUCGAGUUAUUACCAAAAUCACUUUUAUGAUCCGAUUUGGCUUCUAUAGGAGAUACAAAUAUAUUGGUCAUGGUAAGGGAUAUACUAUUUCCUGAAAGAGCCGCCAGCUGUCGUUGGAGUUGUGUUAUUAGUUAAAAUCGUCAAGUGAGGAAAAGUACCGUGAAUGUCCGACUAUAUAGACGUGCUGAACCACUGAGUACGUCGAACUUCCUUGUGUUCCGAUUGGCCCAAUGGAUGUGAUUAUCCAAUAUCUCUAUGCGGUAAAGCUUCAUUCGGAGACAACAGGAUUUAGUUGUUUAGGGGUACAUAUCAAGUGGCCACCCUUAAAUCAACCACCAGAACCAAUGUGGUUCUUGUUGAGACAUUUAAGAACAACGAAACUCACCCAUUUUGAAUUUGUCACCAACUAUACCAUAACCAUAGAACCGGAUCAUUGUUGCCGCCAGAGACUGAAGAGAAAAUAGUUCUUCAAACCUAUUUCAUUGUGCGAUUAACCAUGCCAUGGAAUUUUAGAUCAUAAGAUAAUUUUAAGAAUUUCUUCACAGACAUAAUACGCUCGUUAAUGGAUUUAAGACGGUCAUGCCUUCUGAUGACCACGAAACCAUAAUCAUAAAUGUGCCACUGGAACAUAAAUAUGCAUUGAUAUUUCGAAGUGAAAAUUUUUGGUGCAUCCAUGUUUUUCCGACAUCUCUACACAGGCUUGCACCUACUCAGCUGAGACGGGCGCUGUUAUACAAAAUUUUGAGUGCUCUUGCACUUUUACAAUAAGAUCAAAUAUUUUUAAUUUAAACUGAAAUUAAUUAUUGUGUUGCUAAAUUUUUUAAAUGAAAAUCAAAUUUACAAUACUAUUUAUGUAUACGGUAGUAAUUAGAUAUUUAAUAGAAUUACGUAUCGGAAAUGCUUAUUUUUAACAAAAGUUUUCGAAGCGAAAAUAACUAUUGUCAAUUUAGGUGAUUGAUUCUAAUUACUUUAACACGUUUAAAUGAUGGAAUGAUGGAAGGAAAAAUAAAACAAAACGGAAAUAGGUAAUGGUUGAUCAUACAAGUUUGUUAGUAAAAGUCACACAAAUAUAUGUAAAUUGCGUUUCAAUUCCACACUUUUGGAUUACUAGCUAAUACCCGCGACUACGUCUGCGUACCCCAAAUGCAAUUUUUAUUAUUAUUCGUUUUCUUUUGAUCCUUUUAAUUUUUCACUGAUUUACUAAUAUGAGUAUGAAUUGUGAUGCUGGUAUCACAAAAAUUAUAAAAUAUAAAUUAUGUAUUUGGCAUUUAUGUAAAGCACAAACCGAAUUCCACUUAAUCGGCUGUUACGACAGAGAUGUCAAACUUUUUGAUAUAAUCUUAAAAUAUAGAACUUUGUAGCUAAGAUUGUAAAAAAAAAAUCUUUUUGUA